CGGCAUGGUCCAGUGGUUAGGACGUCUGCUUUACACGCAGAAGAUCAUGGGUUCGAACCCCAUU
rnacentral:tRNA from 1 species